CCUACGGGUGGCUGCAGUGAGGGAUAUUGCGCAAUGGGGGAAACCCUGACGCAGCGACGCCGCGUGGGUGAUGAAGGCCUUCGGGUCGUAAAACCCUUUUGCCACUGACGAGACAAGGACGGUAGGUGGCGAAUAAGCCUCGGCUAACUACGUGCCAGCAGCCGCGGUACAACGUAGGAGGCGCGCGUUAUCCGGAGUUACUGGGCGUAAAGCGCGCGCAGGCGGUACGUUAAGUCGGGCGUGAAAGCCCCAGGCUAAACGUGGGGAGGACGAACGAUACUGGCGAACUGGAGUGGAGCAGAGGGACAUGGAAUUCCGGGUGUAGCGGUGAAAUGUGCAGAUAUCCGGAGGAACACCAGAGGUGAAAACGGUGUCCUGGGCUCACACUGACGCUGAGGUGCGAAAGCGUGGGGAGCGAACGGGAUUAGAGACCCGUGUAGUC
rnacentral:rRNA from 1 species